rnacentral:rRNA from 1 species
UACAGGGGGGGCAAGCGUUGUCCGGAUUUAUUGGGCGUAAAGAGCGUGUAGGCGGCCAAGCAGGUCCGCUGUGAAAACUCGAGGCUCAACCUCGAGACGUCGGUGGAAACCGUUUGGCUAGAGUCCGGAAGAGGAGAGUGGAAUUCCCGGUGUAGCGGUGAAAUGCGCAGAUAUCAGGAAGAACACCUAUGGCGAAGGCAGCUCUCUGGGGACGGUACUGACGCUGAGACGCGAAAGCGUGGGGAGCGAACAGG